GAUUUGGAAAAUAGCUCAAGCCAGUAGAGCAGAAGACUCUUAAUCUCAAGGCUGUGGGUUUAAACCCCACCCUGAGCA